rnacentral:rRNA from 1 species
AUUGAACGCUGGCGGCAGGCCUAACACAUGCAAGUCGAGCGGAUGAAGGGAGCUUGCUCCUGGAUUCAGCGGCGGACGGGUGAGUAAUGCCUAGGAAUCUGCCUGGUAGUGGGGGAUAACGUCCGGAAACGGGCGCUAAUACCGCAUACGUCCUGAGGGAGAAAGUGGGGGAUCUUCGGACCUCACGCUAUCAGAUGAGCCUAGGUCGGAUUAGCUAGUUGGUGGGGUAAAGGCCUACCAAGGCGACGAUCCGUAACUGGUCUGAGAGGAUGAUCAGUCACACUGGAAAUGAGACACGGUCCAGACUCCUACGGGAGGCAGCAGUGGGGAAUGUUAGACAAUGGGCGAAGGCCUGAUCCAGCCAUGCCGCGUGUGUGAAGAAGGUCUUCGGAUUGUAAAGCACUUUAAGUUGGGAGGAAGGGCAGUAAGUUAAUACCUUGCUGUUUUGACGUUACCAACAGAAUAAGCACCGGCUAACUUCGUG